AGUGAACGCUGGCGGCAGGCCUAAUACAUGCAAGUCGAACGGCAGCACAGCAGAGCUUGCUCUGUGGGUGGCGAGUGGCGGACGGGUGAGGAAUACAUGGGAAUCUGCCCAGUCGUGGGGGAUAACGUAGGGAAACUUACGCUAAUACCGCAUGCGCCCUUCGGGGGAAAGCCGGGGACCUUCGGGCCUGGCGCGAUUGGAUGAGCCCAUGUCGGAUUAGCUAGUUGGCGGGGUAAUGGCCCACCAAGGCGACGAUCCGUAGCUGGUCUGAGAGGAUGAUCAGCCACACUGGAACUGAGACACGGUCCAGACUCCUACGGGAGGCAGCAGUAGGGAAUAUUGGACAAUGGGCGCAAGCCUGAUCCAGCCAUGCCGCGUGAGUGAAGAAGGCCCUCGGGUUGUAAAGCUCUUUUUGUCCGGAAGAAAAAGCGCCGGGUUAAUACCCUAGUGUCCUGACGGUACCGGAAGAAUAAGACACCGGACUAACUUCGUGCCAGCACG
rnacentral:rRNA from 1 species